GGGGAAUAUUGCACAAUGGGCGAAAGCCUGAUGCAGCAACGCCGCGUGAGGGAUGACGGCCUUCGGGUUGUAAACCUCUUUUAGUAGGGAAGAAGCGUAAGUGACGGUACCUGCAGAAAAAGCACCGGCUAACUACGUGCCAGCAGCCGCGGUAAUACGUAGGGUGCAAGCGUUGUCCGGAAUUAUUGGGCGUAAAGAGCUCGUAGGCGGCUUGUCGCGUCUGCUGUGAAAACCCGGAGCUCAACUCCGGGCCUGCAGUGGGUACGGGCAGGCUAGAGUGCAGUAGGGGAGAUUGGAAUUCCUGGUGUAGCGGUGGAAUGCGCAGAUAUCAGGAGGAACACCGACGGCGAAGGCAGGUCUCUGGGCCACUACUGACGCUGAGAAGCGAAAGCGUGGGGAGCGAAC
rnacentral:rRNA from 1 species